rnacentral:rRNA from 1 species
AACGAACGCUGGCGGCAGGCUUAACACAUGCAAGUCGAGCGAACCCUUCGGGGUUAGCGGCGGACGGGUGAGUAACGCGUGGGAACGUGCCCUUUUCUACGGAAUAGCCUCGGGAAACUGAGAGUAAUACCGUAUACGCCCUUUUGGGGAAAGAUUUAUCGGAGAAGGAUCGGCCCGCGUUGGAUUAGGUAGUUGGUGGGGUAAUGGCCUACCAAGCCGACGAUCCAUAGCUGGUUUGAGAGGAUGAUCAGCCACACUGGGACUGAGACACGGCCCAGACUCCUACGGGAGGCAGCAGUGGGGAAUCUUAGACAAUGGGGGCAACCCUGAUCUAGCCAUGCCGCGUGAGUGAUGAAGGCCUUAGGGUUGUAAAGCUCUUUCAGCUGGGAAGAUAAUGACGGUACCAGCAGAAGAAGCCCCGGCUAACUCCGUGCCAGCCGCCGCGGUAA